rnacentral:rRNA from 1 species
ACGUAUUUCACUCUCUGUUACACCAACUCAGGAGCGCUUGCUAGAAAGAUUAAAAUCUGUAAAAGGAACUAGGCAAAUCCUAAGGCCCGACUGUUUACCAAAAACAUAGCCUUCAGCCGAGCCAAGUAUUGAAGGUGAUGCCUGCCCAGUGACUCCAUGUUCAACGGCCGCGGUAUCCUAACCGUGCGAAGGUAGCGCAAUCAAUUGUCUCAUAAAUCGAGACUUGUAUGAAUGGCUAAACGAGGUCUUAACUGUCUCUUACAGAUAAUCAGUGAAAUUGAUCCUCCCGUGCAAAAGCAGGAAUGAACCCAUAAGACGAGAAGACCCUGUGGAACUUAAAAAUCAACAGCCACCUCACACCACAACUUAACCCACUAGGUCCACCACUAACGUGAUGCUGGCUCACAUUUUUCGGUUGGGGCGACCUUGGAGAAAAACAAAUCCUCCAAAAACAAGACCACCCCUCUUAACUAAGAGCAACCCCUCAACGUGCUAAUAGUAACCAGACCCAGUAUAACUGACCAAUGGACCAAGCUACCCCAGGGAUAACAGCGCAAUCUCCUCCAAGAGCCCAUAUCGACGAGGAGGUUUACGACCUCGAUGUUGGAUCAGGACAUCCUAAUGGUGCAGCCGCUAUUAAGGGUUCGUUUGUUCAACGAUUAACAGUCCUACGUGAUCUGAGUUCAGACCGGAGCAAUCCAGGUCGGUUUCUAUCUAUGCUAAACUUUCCCUAGUACGAAAGGACCGGAAAAGUGGGGCCAAUGCUCCAACGCACGCCCCCUCCCUAAGUUAUGAACACAACUAAAUUACAAAGGGAUCCCACCCAUACACCUAAUCCUAGAAAAGGAUC